rnacentral:sRNA from 1 species
AAAUAAAUUCUUAUAUCAUAUUAUUUAUGCAUAAGUUUAUACGACUUAUACAACUAAAUUUAAAUAAUUUAAUUUAUAUACAAGUUUGAUAUACUUUGUACUUAAUUAAAAUAAAUUUAUUCAAUUAAUAAGUUAAAACAUGUCAAUUUGUAUGCAAGAAAGAAUUAAUGCAUGAUUUUUAAUUCUUAAAUUAAUUAAUAAAUAUAAUUAAGGGUAUAUGCACUAGAUGACUAUGAAAUUCAUAAUAUUAUAGAAACUAACCAUGGGCGUAUAGUACCUGUCGGAAACCAACUUUAAAUUACUCUCAUAUCCCUAUAAUAGAGUUUUGGUUGAAGGGACAAAUAGCUUUAUAGGCAAAUAGUUUUACCACUAAAGCUUCCAUAACCUCCUCAUCCCUUACAACAAUAACCACCACUAGAUCCGUAACACCACCGCCUCCUCCGUAUUUAGUAUUACUAGAUCUGUAAAUACUACCGCCUCCGUAUUCACCACCAUCAUAUCCAUAACACCACCGCCUCUUCCCUAUUCAUCACCACCGCCGUUUACUUUUGUUGACAUGUAUUUUUAUUCUAAAACAUUGUAUUUUUCAAAGUUUCUUUUAAAUAAUACUUGUUCUUUACUAAAAUUACAAUGAUCCGUGUGUCUCAAUUCAAACGAUAGCAUGUAAUUUUUGAAUAAUUCAUGCUAUUUUUCUAUUUGAUAUGUAUAUUUUCCUAAAACGUUUGUAUUUUUUGAUAAGAUAAUAUUUUUUUAAAGAUAAUGUGCAUUUUACUAAUAAUCCAUAUUUUUACUAAAAUCACAAGUAAGUUACUGAUUCAUGAUUCAUGUUU